GCUUGUUCUUAAGCUUUUUCCGCCAGAGUAUUACGAGCUACAGCUUAAAACUCAAAGAACUUGGCGGUGCUCUAUACCCACCUAGAGGAGCCUGUUCUAUAAUCGAUACCCCCCGAUAAACCUCACCGCCUCUUGCCAAUACAGCCUAUAUACCACCGUCCUCUGCUUAUCUUCAAAAGAACUAUAAUAAGCAAAAUAAUUUAAAAUAAAAAAGCCAGGUCAAGGUGUAGCACAUGAAGCGGAAAGAAAUGGGCUACAUUUUCUUCCCUAGAAAACACGUUAAGUCCUAUGAAAUAAAACAAAAGGAGGAUUUAGAAGUAAAAAGAAAUAAGAAUGUUCUUUUAAACUAGGCAAUAAAGCACGCACACACCGCCCGUCACCCUCAUUUAAUUAAACAGAAGAGGAAAGU
rnacentral:rRNA from 1 species